rnacentral:rRNA from 1 species
UACGUAGGGUGCAGGCGUUAAUCGGAAUUACUGGGCGUAAAGCGUGCGCAGGCGGUUUUGUAAGCCAGAUGUGAAAUCCCCGGGCUUAACCUGGGAAUGGCAUUUGGGACUGCAAGGCUUGAGUGCGGCAGAGGAGACUGGAAUUCCUGGUGUAGCAGUGAAAUGCGUAGAUAUCAGGAGGAACACCGAUGGCGAAGGCAGGUCUCUGGGCUGACACUGACGCUCAUGCACGAAAGCGUGGGGAGCAAACAGG